rnacentral:pre_miRNA from 12 species
AAAAUGGAAGAAAUCGCACCAUGCACAGGCAAUGGCACUGGAAGAAUUCACGGGUUUCUUACUAUUCCCGUGGUCUCUUAGUGGCAUCACUAGUGCUGGGCGAUACAUCUGUAUACGACG